rnacentral:rRNA from 1 species
CCUCCUUCUUCUUCUCUCUUUCUCCUUCUUUCUUUUUUUUCCCUUUCUCUCCUCCUGUCGCUUCCGUCAGUUGUGAAAGUUUGCGGCUCAACCGUAAAAUUGCAGUUGAUACUGGUUUCCUUGAGUGCAGUUGAGGCAGGCGGAAUUCGUGGUGUAGCGGUGAAAUGCUUAGAUAUCACGAAGAACCCCGAUUGCGAAGGCAGCUUGCUAAACUGUAACUGACGUUCAUGCUCGAAAGUGUGGGUAUCAAACAGG